AAAUGAAUAGACGGGGGCCCGCACAAGCAGCGGAGCAUGUUGUUUAAUUCGAAGCAACGCGAAGAACCUUACCAUGUCUUGACAUCGAGGAAAAAGGUCAGAGAUGACCCUAGCCUUCGGGCAUCCGAAGACAGGUGGUGCAUGGUUGUCGCCAGCUCGUGUCGUGAGAUGUUGGGUUAAGUCCCGCAACGAGCGCAACCCCUAUGGUCAGUUACUAACACGUAGUGGUGAGGACUCUGACAAGACUGCCGGGGACAACUCGGAGGAAGGUGGGGACGACGUCAAAUCAUCAUGCCCCUUAUGACAUGGGCUACAAACGUGCUACAAUGGUGGUUACAAAGAGGAGCGAGCUCGUGAGGGUAAGCGGAUCUCAAAAAAGCCAUCUCAGUUCGGAUUGUGGGCUGCAACCCGCCCACAUGAAGUUGGAGUUGCUAGUAAUCGCGGAUCAGAAUGCCGCGGUGAAUACGUUCCCGGGCCUUGUACACACCGCCCGU
rnacentral:rRNA from 1 species